rnacentral:rRNA from 1 species
GAUGAACGCUAGCGGCAGGCUUAACACAUGCAAGUCGAGGGGUAUGCCGAUUUAUCGGCAGAGACCGGCGCACGGGUGCGUAACGCGUAUGCAAUCUACCUUUUACAGAGGGAUAGCCCAGAGAAAUUUGGAUUAAUACCUCAUAGUAUAGUGACUCGGCAUCGAGAUACUAUUAAAGUCACAACGGUAAAAGAUGAGCAUGCGUCCCAUUAGCUAGUUGGUAAGGUAACGGCUUACCAAGGCUACGAUGGGUAGGGGUCCUGAGAGGGAGAUCCCCCACACUGGUACUGAGACACGGACCAGACUCCUACGGGAGGCAGCAGUGAGGAAUAUUGGACAAUGGGCGCAAGCCUGAUCCAGCCAUGCCGCGUGCAGGAUGACGGUCCUAUGGAUUGUAAACUGCUUUUGUACGAGAAGAAACACCCCUCCGUGAAGGGACUUGACGGUAUCGUAAGAAUAAGGAUCGGCUAACUCCGUGCCAGCAGCCGCCGUAAGAC